AUGUCCAUGCUCUCUCUGAACAUGUUUCCUCCUUGGGAAGAAGAGAACCACUGUCCGUGUUCCCUGAGGAACUUGUCUUCUUGCAGUGCCCAUCGAAACUGCUCAAGUUCUCAGAUGUCCUUCGAGGAAGGUCUGGAAAGUUCUGUCAGCGUUAGCGAAAAAAUAGCGGGGAGCCUGGUGGGCUGCAGUCCAUGGGGUCACAAAAGAGUCGGACAUGAUUUAGUGAGUACACAAUAACAACAACUACACAUUGUUUGCUCACUCUGUGCCGUAUGCUAUUAGGAGGAGCUUC
rnacentral:lncRNA from 1 species